GGGGUUGUAGCUCAAUGGUAGAGUGCUUGCCUAGCAAGUAUAAGGCCCUGGGUUUGAUCCUCAGCACCA
rnacentral:tRNA from 1 species